GAUGAACGCUGGCGGCGUGCUUAACACAUGCAAGUCGAACGAGAAGUGGAGACGGAAACCUUCGGGCGGAAGACUUUAUUUCGAGUGGCGGACGGGUGAGUAACGCGUGGGUAACCUGCCUCAUACAGGGGGAUAACAGUUGGAAACGACUGUUAAUACCGCAUAAGACCACAGCACCGCAUGGUGCGGGGGUAAAAACUCCGGUGGUAUGAGAUGGACCCGCGUUCGAUUAGCCAGUUGGCGGGGUAACGGCCCACCAAAGCGACGAUCGAUAGCCGAUCUGAGAGGAUGACCGGCCACAUUGGGACUGAGACACGGCCCAAACUCCUACGGGAGGCAGCAGUGGGGAAUAUUGCACAAUGGGGGAAACCCUGAUGCAGCGACGCCGCGUGAGUGAAGAAGUAUUUCGGUAUGUAAAGCUCUAUCAGCAGGGAAGAAAAUGACGGUACCUGAGUAAGAAGCCCCGGCUAACUACGU
rnacentral:rRNA from 1 species